rnacentral:rRNA from 1 species
CCUACGGGUGGCAGCAGUGGGGGAUAUUGCACAAUGGGGGAAACCCUGAUGCAGCGACGCCGCGUGUGGGAAGACGGUCUUCUGGAUUGUAAACCACUGUCACCAGGGACGAAAAUGACGGUACCUGGGGAGGAAGCUCCGGCUAACUACGUGCCAGCAGCCGCGGUAAUACGUAGGGAGCAAGCGUUGUCCGGAAUUACUGGGUGUAAAGGGAGCGUAGGCGGGGAUGCAAGUUGGGUGUCAAAACUACCGGCUCAACCGAUAGUCGCACUCAAAACUGCAACUCUUGAGUGAAGUAGAGGCAGGCGGAAUUCCUAGUGUAGCGGUGAAAUGCGUAGAUAGUAGGAGGAACACCAGUGGCGAAGGCGGCCUGCUGGGCUUUUACUGACGCUGAGGCUCGAAAGUGUGGGGAGCAAACAGGAUUAGAUACCCGGGUAGUC